GUGUGGAAGGAGGAAAUGGAGAAAGCCACGUGCUCCAAGUUAUCCGCACGGAUCGAGAACAAUUGCUGAUGGUAUCAAGAAGUGGUACUUGAGGUGUCACCGAUCAGGCACAUAUGUUCCAAAAGGCACUGGUGCAAGGCAGCUGCAGUCACAAGGCGUUGUGAAAACUGGCGCAACAUGCCUUGCAUACAUGACAGUUUGUGAGCAAAACUGCAAGAAGGUGUCACUAUGGAUGCUGUCCUGGACAGCAUAGGCAGCAACCUUGACGGAAGCCUUAAUCGGAUACACCUGGCAACGCGACAAGAUCUACAUAACAUGCGAGAUUUCAAAACCACUUAUAAUGAAAGGCUUCACAUGAAUGACUAUAUCAGUGUGAGUCUAUGGGUUGAGAAAAUGAAGUAUGAGCAGCGCAACCCAGUCCCUUUUUUCGAGCACCAGA